rnacentral:lncRNA from 1 species
ACCUUGUCGGACACACCAAUCAUAUUUGCUGUAUCUCACUCCAGAUGGAACGCUCCUGAACACUUUUGAAACGAAAGGCUACUGCUUGCAAUACCUUCUCUCUAAAUCUGACAGUGUGAUGAUAGAUGAUUUCGCCGCUUCUUUUGAGAAGCAGUCAGAUGCACACUCUCCGUCAUAGCGAAAUAAAAGUCUAUCAUUGGAUUCGUGCGACAAGCUCUGACUAAAUGCCUGCUAUAUUUGAAAGAAAGUCUGGAAAGGUACUCCUCCGCACCAAAAGGAGCCUACUUCAUUUGGAUAUUAUUACCCUGCUUAGAAAUAAAACAAGAGAUUGUCGAUCAAUAAAAAUAAAUUAGUGAAUAAAUCAUUGAAAUGAAACGAAUCCACUUCUAAAAGUCCCUUUUUUUGAGCCGUAAUAAAAUCGUUUUUUACUCAUCAGCCAGCAAGACUGCAUUUUGUAUCCAUAUUCCAUCCCUUAAAACUGGAAGUAGGUAUCCUUUUCCUUCUAAGGUAUAGAAUUAUAUCAGUAAUAGUAGUGCUAAGUUUUUAUUUAAUAAUAUAAAUAAAAUUAUUUUCUUCUACUUUAAUUGAGUUGUAUGUACCUAUAAUCGUUUCAAAGUUUAACUUCUUUUUUUUACGUGGUUUGGUCUUCCUAAUUUACUCCUCACUCGAGCUGAUUUUGCAAUGCAAGCAUAGAUGUCAGAGAAAAGAGGCUCCGAGUUUGGUGAAAGUAAUACUAGCUAUUUGUAAGUCCUUAGACUCAGAAAUAAAAGAAUGAUCGUUUCUCAAUUUGAGUGAGUUUGUUCUUUCCCUCCCUCCCUUAAAAUAGCCUGUGCCAUGGUAAUGGCAACCCAUCUCUUAUGGACUUUGAAACUUUAGCUCAGUGGCUUAGAGGGCAAGUGGAAUAAGAGUAGUUUUUGUUAUUUCAAGAAAUGUAUGUUUACUUAAAGUUUCAAAAUCACGCAGAGCUCUAUUGAGGAAAGAAAGUUCAAACUUUGCUAGUUCAAACAAAGAUGCUAAAAAAUUGGAUUUUACUUAGUAGUGAAUUUUUCGUAUGAUAUAUUUUAAGACUAGUUUUAUGUGAAAUCAUUAAUAUCUCAAUUUUUUCAAGAACUGCACUUAUCCCACUUUUCUUCCAAGCCUCUCUACUUAAGUACCUACCUAAUUUAUACUCACUUGUCUAAGUUCAUAUCAAAAUUUUGGAGAAAAUCAUUCCUCCCUUGCCAG